rnacentral:misc_RNA from 1 species
UGCCAAUAGACAAGCAAAUAGAGGUAAUUUUGCCCUCUCUUUUCAUUCUUUUCAACUUCUGUCGACUUGUACACAUAAGCAUCUUGCACUAUAUUUUCUGUUGGAAUUCUUUCAUAUUUAACUCCAAUGUUAUGGCCAAGUGUAUAACACCGUUGAUUCAGCAAUUUUGUUUGUAGUCCAUUCAUUUGCGUAAUAAGCAUAUCAAGAAAAGACAUUUGAGCUUACCCUUUUUUUUCUGGUAAUUAUAGUAGUAGUUCAAUUGUGUGCUCUUUGACCUUUAUGUUGGAUUACUGGUUUGCUAAUUGACCAUUGCUAACUAAUUAUUUGGGUUUUAAA